rnacentral:SRP_RNA from 1 species
UGUUAGUCCUCGCGUACUUGACUUCAGUUUAAUUGGUCAGGUCCGGAAGGAAGCAGCCAGGAUUGAAAAUCAAGGUACCGCGAUGCGGUUAGCAGUU